rnacentral:rRNA from 1 species
UACGUAGGGUGCAAGCGUUGUCCGGAAUUAUUGGGCGUAAAGAGCUCGUAGGCGGCUCAGUUAGUCGGGUGUGAAACCCCCGGGCUCAACCCGGGGACGCCACCCGAUACUGCUGUGGCUAGAGUCCGGUAGGGGAGCGUGGAAUUCCUGGUGUAGCGGUGAAAUGCGCAGAUAUCAGGAGGAAUACCGGUGGCGAAAGCGACUCUCUGGACGGCAACUGACGCUGAGGCACGAAAGCGUGGGGAGCAAACAGG